UGAGGAAUAUUGCACAAUGGGCGCAGGCCUGAUGCAGCAACGCCGCGUGAGGGACGAAGGCCUUCGGGUCGUAGACCUCUUUUCUGGGGGACGAGUAAGGACGGUACCCCAGGAAUAAGUCUCGGCUAACUACGUGCCAGCAGCCGCGGUAAAACGUAGGAGGCGAGCGUUAUCCGGAUUUACUGGGCGUAAAGCGUACGCAGGUGGCUUCGUUAGUCGGACAUGAAAGCUCCUGGCUUAACUGGGAGAGGUUGUUCGAUACUGCGGGGCUUGAGGUUGGGAGAGGGACGUGGAAUUCCCGGUGUAGUGGUGGAAUGCGUAGAUAUCGGGAGGAACACCAGUGGCGCAAGCGGCGUCCUGGCCCACACCUGACGCUGAGGUACGAAAGCGUGGGUAGCAAACAG
rnacentral:rRNA from 1 species